GGGAUCUUUCCAACCCAAUUUUGCAUUUUCUCCACUGACCAAAACCUGGAAUAAGCCAUUAGCAUUAGAGAGAAUCAUUAUCAAACUCAUGUUGGCCAAGCAGAAAAAAUGAGAGGCAGCAUAAAAAGACCCACUGCUGAGGGGCAAGGCAGAUGCCAGGAAAGGAAGACAGAAUUUCCUAAGCAUCAAGAUUAAAAACUAGUGUGAGAUCUGUGCCACUUUCCCGGCCAGCAACAGGCAGCUGGAAUGUGGCCAUCACUGGGCUUGGGAGUAACUGGAGAUUUGUCAAUUAUUCCAUAAAGGGUAAAAAAGAUUCUCCCUGGAAAUCAGAAGUUGCCACUUGCAUGAUGGAUUUCUAAUCUGCUUCUCUCCUCUGCACAGCUGAGAGUUUAACUCCAGACAAACCUUAGCCCAUACAAAUUAGGGAAUAUAUAAAUUUACCCACCUGCCUGUGAAGAACUUGCUGCUUCUUAUUGUGCAGCUCAAGGUGAGCAUUGGUGCCACGGUAUCCUGGAGCUGAUUUCCAGCAGGGAAAACAUCAUUAUUCCCAGCUGGCAGGCACUGCAGGUAAACAGAACGAGCUCCUUUCUCUCCUGAACUCAUCUCCUCCAAGCUGUCCUCUUCCAAGCUGUCAUCCUCCAGGAUGUCAUCAGGAUCCAGCCCUACCAGCCCCUCGUUUUCCAGGAUCCUCUGUUGGAGUCCCAGCUGGUACUGCCUCUCCUCUGCCAGGCUCUUGGAGUCGGAUUCCUGGGAAUCAUCCGAACUGGAGGCAGAGCUCCCAUCCCUUCCAGACGCCCUUUCCCAACUCGCAGGUUGGAAAACGGGUGGCAUGAGGACUUUUGGAGGGACAUGGAUGUUAUUCAUGUUGUAAGUGUGUGGGGAAGAGACUGAAAUGUGUUUCACAUUUGAAGAAUUCAUCCCGAGUUUGGCUUACACCAGCUCUGUGUUUGGAGAACACACAAACAUAAAACAUUGUUACCUUGUCAUAAUAUUUAAAAGCUGAGUUUUGGGUACUGCCAUUGGCUUAGGCUCAGAAUUUGACCUUCUGUUGUUCAGACAACUCUUUAUUCUCAUCUGUCCCACUGAUUUUCCUUUAAGCAGUAAUAUCAAGGUCUCUACAUAUCAAAUACAGGAUUUAUUGCUACGAAAUCUCCACUAUUGAUAGCAAUAAAGAACGCAGAACCAGCUUGCGACAAAGAAAAUGAAGCUGAGGCAAAGCAUCUGUUAUCUGUGAACUUUUGAGAGUUACAAUGAAUUUUGUUUGUUCUCUUUAUGCAACUUUAUACCCCCUGGACAUGUAAAAGCAGCAAGAAGGUGUGACAGGGAACACAGUGAGAACUGGAGCUCUU